UUAAAAAAUUAAAAAUAGCAUGGUCA
rnacentral:piRNA from 1 species